UUAGAUUUUAAAAAUUCUAUCCACUAAUUGUUCAGGAUUUCUGUUUUCGUUCAUUGGAUUAUUAAUAUUUCUAAUAAUUAUCUUUUGUGCUCACUCCAAUGCUAACUUAUUUUCAGGACAAAGAAUGAAGACUUGACUUUGGAACAGUUCAGAGGAGCCACAGAGGUCCUGUGGCAGAGAAGGAAGAUCGGUCAAAUAUCUCCAGAAAUGUCUUCCAAAGUCAGGGCACUUAUCAAAUCCUUCGACAGCUUGCAGCCAGAAGCAGGCGGUGGUUUCUCGUCACACAUUCGGACCGGUGAUUGAAGUUUCCUCAUUGGCAAGAUCCCUCCUGCUGUUGCUGUGUCACCCAUACAGCGACAUUUGACCUCAGGACCCUCAGGCAUUGCCAGAC